UUUCUUGUGCACACGAAUAUAUAUAUAAAGUAUAAACCACAGUAAAGGAGCCAUGAUUGUACGAAUCGUUAACUGAAAAUUGUGGGCUGCUUGGUGGCAAAACCAGGCGCCCAUGGACACCCAAAAAAAGCUCUUUUAAUGCGCUGGGUCUUUCCGCGUCUCUCUUUGUAGCCCUGGCUUUCCUCUUUGCCUCGUCCUCCUAUCUUUUUCCUUCCCUGAUCACCGCCGCUGGAAUGGAGGCUUCGGUCCUUCGAAUCCCGACUCCGAUCGGCCGUCGCAACUCUCUGUCUCCAACCAAGAUAACUUUUUUGGUUCCAGUCCAUAUGAUGGAAUAAUCGGAAAGGUUGCAUCUUGUGUUUCUCUAACGGGAAUUUCCCUCCCGAAGACUACGGUUUUGAAACUUUUAGUCCCUUAGCUUUUAAUGUUUCUUUUCUGAUAUUCCUGGAAGCACAUGAAGGUGAUUUGGUCGAAAUUAACUAUGUGCAGAGGUAAAAAUUAAUUGUUCUAUAAAGCAGAUUUAUUAGAUCUAUCUAUCUGCAUCAACAUUCUCAUAAUAGUGUUAUGAUACAUGCAUAGAUCCCAAAAUUGAAGUUGAUGCUUUUAUGUUGAUGGCAUUUGCUAUUUGUUAUGUUGAAUGAAUGAUACAAAUGAAGGGCUGGUUGGUGGGAGUCUGGUGAGGAGAACAUGGUGGCGGAAGGGAGCAGGAGAUCAGAGAGGCUAGUCAAUCCCUUAGACCCAAGAUUUUCAAAAAUCUCCCUUUUUUGUUGUAUUUUUCUAGUGCAGUCCCCACCCAGCCAGCCACUCCACCCGCCUCCCCCAUUCCACCCCCUGCAACCAAAGAAAAAAAUAAAAAAAAAACACGCAUGCAUGCGUGCACACACAAAAACACCUUCAAAGACAUAGGAGUUUUGAUUGUGGGAUUAUGAACACCAGAGGAGGGAAAGAAACCUAAUAGAAUUAUAAUUGUAUUCACUGCUUAUAAUAUCAGUUUGCAAAUCAGUAACAUUUAUUUGAUCCUAUGCUCUAUGUGAAUUCAAAUAUAGCACAGUGCACCAAUUCAAAUAUUUGUUGUAGCUUGUUUCUUGCUACAUGCUUUUCAAUCUAGAUUCUUUCUGCUUCUCUAAAAUAUUGAUUUGGUCCACCUUGUUUGACAGAUCAUAAGGGCUUGAAAGAUGCUUCAGUGGCAUGAUGGUUGGAGGUAGAUUCUUGAUCUUGAAGAUUUUAAUGGCAAGAGGAGACAUUUGAUAACUCCUGAUGUUGGGUAUGUUAAUGAGCAAUUUUUUAUAUCCUAGUUGGUAGGAGGUGUCUUAGCCAUCUCAUCCCAUUCCCACGAGAACAUGGGACCAGGAUGGAGAUGGGAUUUUGAAACCCAUUCAUGUAGGAAAAGAAGAAGAAAGAGGAAAUAAAGGAAGGAAAGAAGAAGAAAAGGAAAAAUGAACGGAAGGAAAGAAGAAAAAGGAAAGAAAGAAAGGAAGGAAAAAGGAAAGAAGGGAAGGAAAGAAGAAAGGAAAGAAAGAAGAAAAAGGAAAGAAAGAAAGGAGGAAAGAGAGAAGAAAAAGAAAGGAAGGAAAAAAGGAAGAAGGGAAAGAAAGAAGAAGAGAAAGGAAAGAAAAAGGAAGGAGAAGAAGAAAAAAAAGAACAAGAAAAGAAGUAAAAAAGAAAAACAAACAAAGAAAGAAAGAAAGAAAUAAAGAAAAGAAGAAAAGGAGAAAAACCGAGGUAACCUGUCAGGAUGCUCCACAAGAUAGUCGCUAGGAUAGGGCAGACCAAUAGGGUAUUCUAUUUCGGGGAAAAACUAGAAUACCCCCAUUCCACGGAAUUUAAAACUUUGUUAAUGAGAACUUGAAACCAAUCUCUCAUGAGGUACAACUUUUAAACCAAUCCUUGAUGAUGCACAUUUUUAUUAUUUUUUUAUUUUUAUUUUGUCAUAGCUAUUAGAGUAGCUUCCAAUUGUGAUGUUGUAAGAACUGAGAACUUCUAUAGCCAUCCCUUUCCUUGGGUUAGAUACAAACCAUCCUAAAUUACAUGGCUAAAAGGAACAAUCAAGUCAUUCUCAGUCACAAGGUUUCAAAUUCCGUGGGAUGGCAGUAUCCUGGUUUCUCUACCAAAUGGGAUGCCUUGCAUUUUGCCCCUUCUCGGUGGCUAUCCCGAUUGAGUGUCCCGUUAGAUACUCUCCAUUUCUUUCCCCUUACUCUUUCCUUUGUAUCUUUAUUUCUUUUUUUGUUUCUUUUCCUUCUUUUCUUCUUCUUUCUUCUGCUUUUUAUUUUCUUUUUCAUCUUCUUUCUUUCACUUCUUCUUUCUUUCCUUCUUCCUUUCUUUUGUCUCCCUUUCUUCCUUUAUUUCUUUCUUUUCCUUUUCUUCUUUUUUCUUUCCUUCUUCCUUCUUUUGUUUUUCUUCUCCUUUCUUUUCUUUCUUUUUCUCCUCCUCCCUUUCCAUCUUUUUCUCAUUUCUUGUUCUUUCAUUUCUUUCUUUAUUUUCUCUUUCUUCUUCUUUCUCCGUGUGGAUGGGUUUUGGAGUCCUGUCCUUAUCUCGGUCUUGUCUCAUAGGAAUGGUAUAGGAUAGCUCGGACACUCCUUGUUAUUUACUGUUUGGUCCACGGGGAAACCUUCUCUCUCAUGCCAACGAGCCAUUUUUUCCUGGAAGUUCAGCUCUGGGAAGUGCUAUAAUCUUCUUGAAAAUUAUCAGAUUCUCAAGCAUGUGCCAAGCUCUUCCAGUGCCAGGCAUUUUCAAGAAAAUUGUAUAGAUUCUUUUUUGAUCUGAAAAAUUGUCUAAAUAUCAUCAAUUUUGAUUCUUUUCUUAUUAAUAUGUUGUUCUAUAUGUUCAUAACGUGCGUUUAGUAUUAUUUCAAAUUCCAACUGCAAACUCAUUUUGUCCAUAUUUAUUCAGUUGUAUAGACAAAUGGUAACUUGGAGGAAGAAAGGUAGUCUCUUCUUCGUCGGUUCUCUCUCUCUUCUUCUUCUUCUUCCUUUUUUGCAUGAUAGGGCUCUGGCCUACCUGUGCUAAGCAUGGCAGAAGGCCCUUUUAAACUGUGGAAGGCGUAAAGCCUCGCUCUGCUAAUGAGAAGGCUUUCACCGAGUAAAUUCUUGUAAGAAAUUUAACGGAGGGUCCGUGGAAUAGAUUCAUUUCAGCUGUAGGCCUAUGGUGUCACCUCUCUCACAGGCGGGAAUGUACCACGCCCAGAUUCCUGUGCAUGGCUUUCUAGAAAUUCCAAACAUGGGUAUCAUGCUGCGGAUUUGCCUGGGAGUUGGUUCAUGCAUGCAUGCAUGCACUGGAUUAGUGGCUAGUUUGGCUUGAAGGAGCAUGGGAAUAGUGCAGCCUAACAUGGCUAAUAUGCAAUAAUGUAAUAGGGGAUAUCUGUAAGCAGAAUGGGGACCAAAAAGAACUCACCGGAUAAGUUCUAGGGGUACUUCUUUAACAUUUUCAUUUUCUAUCAAAAAUUAGGUAGCACUUUUUUUAACGGAGAAAGAAGAAUAAGAUAUUUAUUCACAAUAAU